AUGUAUACACUUUGGUACCAUGUCACAUUAACUUUUUUGACAAAUUGAACUGUAAGUCUCACUAAAUGUCAAAUACGUUAGUGCGACAGAGUCCUAAAGUGGGUACAUUACAUUGCUCAUGACUGUACCUGUGUGCUCCUACGCUAUAUAUUUUUUAUUUCAUAAUCGCCCCCGAUGACGUUCAGUUAUGGCCGACUACUGUUUUAUACUUAACGUCAUAAGGGAUCCAUUUUGCUUCAGUCCAAGUUUCAUUUAAUUUAAGAAAGUUUUCUUGCAUGUGUAUCAUUCUUUUUAAUAAUAGUUUCAGAGUUAUUUAGGGGCCAAAUUGUGUAUAUAAAAUGAGUCCUAAUCCUUUUACGUAAGGCUCAAAGCCAGUCGUGUAGUGCCUUAAGUAACUUGAUCAUUUUAUGCCGUAAUAUUUUAUCUGUAGCCGUCGCAUGGACGUAUAUGACGCGCGACGCCAUAAAUAAAUAUGCGAUAAACAAAGUGACGCGAGAUAUGCGGUGUUCGUGCUACAGCUAUUGUAUGCAUGAAUAUUAUGUGUUGUUUAAAAGCCCCAAUGGACAGAUUUUUAAUGAUCAAGUUAAUAGUUACAGAACAACACAGUUUAGUUUCAAAAGAUUGCGUUGAAAGAAACGGUUUGACGAUAAUUAACUUACAUUACUGUUUUUAUAUAUCUUUGGCUCAGUUAUUAAGGAUUUAAAUAAUGUCGUGGCCAGAUCUUAGAAUUGAUCAUUUCAUGAUGUGUUCGACCAUUUCAUGAAAUGGUCAUAUUUCAUGAAAUAGCCAAUUUAAGUUGACCGUAUUGUUGAAACAUCGACAUUUAAUGAUAUUUCAAUCAAUGUUUGGCCAUAUCGUUAAUGCAGGCGGUGUCCAUGUUAUGUGGUGUUAUAAAAAUGCGAAUAGUCGAUUAAUUUAUUUACCUACUCGAUAUGGAAAAUUGUACAAAUUACAUUCAUUCAUCGAUUAUAAUAACAAACAAGUUUUAAAUAUAAUUAUCACCAGCGCCACUACCGGUGGAUAUUGUUACUAAUUUUACGAUAUGAUUGCCAACGUUUGGCCAUAUCAUGAAAUAAUUAUGCAUUAGUUGCUCAGAUCGUUAAACGUUUUGUGUUCAUUGAUCUGGCCAAACUACAUCAUGAUGUGGCCAACGAAUGAUUUUUUAUUUAAUGAAAUGAUCAAUUCUAAGAUCUGGCCACAUAAUAAUAUACAUAAUAGUUUUAUUUAAAUGCGUCUUAUUAUAUAGUCAUGAAACUAAAAAGGCCGCGGCAGAACACAGCCUUUUUUUCUUAGUACAUUCUAAGAUCGUAUUUUUUUCAUAUCUUGUUUCAUACUUUGUGAACUUAAUUUGUGUUGUACUGUAAAUAGGUACGUCUGUAAAUAGUCAUCAUAGAUGAUUGAUUUCUGUUAUGUGAUAAGUAUCAUGGUAGAAUAACUUUAGGUAUAUUUAUUUUUUUGUCAUCUUUGUUAUCAAAUGUCCCAAAAAUUCAUUAAUUGUUCCAUUGAACACUUUCGAUUUGUCUAAGUCUUUAAUAAAUGCCGUUUAAAGAAACACACAAACAAAUUUGUAUUAAAUAAAUAAUAUCAAAAAAUAAAUUACAAGAUUACUAGAAGCAGGUACCUAGACGCGACAAGUAUUAGCAGGGUUCGACAAAUAGACGCUGCGAGUUUAUCUACGUAGACAUCAUACUGUGUUAUAUUCAAUUUGACAGUGUAAGUCGAGGCGCUCCCCGUUUGAGAAGCAAGCCGGUAUAAAUUUUAUUCCCAAUUGGGUAAUCAGACGUACGUCGAUUGCAUGAUGUACUAAGCACCUAAGCCUCACCAGUUUCUAUUAGACCAAUGUGAUGGGUUCAUAACUCUAGUUAUUCUACCAUGAAAACCAUGUUAAUGUUCCCUUAUUUGAAUGUGUUUGGAAGUGACGAUCUAGUCUGUAGAUUGUUGAGUCGGACUUUUAGAGUAGAAUGGAAUGCGAACCAAAAUGUACACGUAUUGUAUGCACGGAACAGAAGAAUGAGGUUGGAAAGGCCCUAACGCGCAUUUUGUAUGAGAACCGCUGUCGCCGGUUCAACCCCACUCUCUUUUUCUACUACUCCUGCAAACAGAUAACUACGAUAGCUCUACUGCUUUUCAAAUUCCAUAGCCACUUCACCGACAAUGUACCUAUAUUUUAUGUGAUAGGAACCAAUUUUGUCAUUACUUUUCGUAAGAUACUGCACACAAAAGAUUUUUCUUUUUGAUAAAUAACAGAUCAUACUAAGGUUUUUACCUUUUCUGUGCCCUGUAGGUUAUAAUGCACAUGACGACCUUUUGAUAUGCUAUCGUGAAGCUCCGUGCAACGUAAAGUUUGUGGACGAGUGGAGUGCAAAGUUGAAGUAUGAACUAUUUGCUCAUACUUGUAGGUAUAUGCGUAUUUCGGGCUCACUUGGCCUUUCCAACGUCUUUCUACUAUUCCAUGAUUGUAUGCAUAUGCUUAGCAUUCUCUAAAUAUAGGAUUAAUUAGUAAAAAGUUAAAAACGAUUCAGUAAAAAGGGCGUCAUUUUAUACGUGGCAUAUAGGCCAAGUAAAUAGGCAUGCAUGCCUAACCUGUGUUUAAAAGCCGUCGUAAAUAGUUCGUAUGUUUUGGUUCGUACAAUAUUUAUGUAUUAAAAGUUAAUCCAGAAAAAUUAAAUACUCAAGACGUCUUAAUAAAGUAACACCAAUUGUAAUCGUUAAAUUAAUAUAAAUUGUAAUAUAUAAAAUCUUAUAAGCUAGAAACCAAAGUUUUAUAUUUUUGGCUGAAAAAGUUUAUCUAUAUAGAAUAUAUUUGUUGUGUAGUCUGUUUUAAUAGUUAUAAUGCCAACGCUUGGUAAUAGACAAUCAAGUUACAUGAAAUAAUAAUCACUUAUUUCAAAAUUA